rnacentral:rRNA from 1 species
GACGAACGCUGGCGGCGUGCCUAAUACAUGCAAGUUGAGCGCUGAAGGUUGGUACUUGUACCAACUGGAUGAGCAGCGAACGGGUGAGUAACGCGUAGGGAAUCUGCCUUUGAGCGGGGGACAACAUUUGGAAACGAAUGCUAAUACCGCAUAAAAACUUUAAACACAAGUUUUAAGUUUGAAAGAUGCAAUUGCAUCACUCAAAGAUGAUCCCGCGUUGUAUUAGCUAGUUGGUGAGGUAAAGGCUCACCAAGGCGAUGAUACAUAGCCGACCUGAGAGGGUGAUCGGCCACAUUGGGACUGAGACACGGCCCAAACUCCUACGGGAGGCAGCAGUAGGGAAUCUUCGGCAAUGGACGAAAGUCUGACCGAGCAACGCCGCGUGAGUGAAGAAGGGUUUCGGAUCGUAAAACUCUGUUGGUAGAGAAGAACGUUGGUGAGAGUGGAAAGCUCAUCAAGUGACGGUAACUACCCAGAAAGGGACGGCUAACUACGUG